AUAUCCCUGCGAUGUGCGUGGUGAAAGGAAGUUUUUGAGCUAACACCAUUAUAUAGGGAGCCUAACUUUAGGCGCGGCUGUAUACCUGGUCGCUAGCGGCAAGGGAACAUCAAGCGCUUAAGAGGGCACCCACUUGUCAAAUGGGUUCAAAAAGCGACCUUUUACACGGCAUCUGUGGGGAUUUU
rnacentral:other from 1 species